rnacentral:rRNA from 1 species
GACGAACGCUGGCGGCGUGCUUAACACAUGCGAGUCGAACGCAAAGGCCCUGCUUUUGUGGGGUGCUCGAGUGGCGAACGGGUGAGUAACACGUGAGUAACCUGCCCUUGACUUUGGGAUAACUUCAGGAAACUGGGGCUAAUACCGGAUAGGAGCUCCUGCUGCAUGGUGGGGGUUGGAAAGUUUCGGCGGUUGGGGAUGGACUCGCGGCUUAUCAGCUUGUUGGUGGGGUAGUGGCUUACCAAGGCUUUGACGGGUAGCCGGCCUGAGAGGGUGACCGGCCACAUUGGGACUGAGAUACGGCCCAGACUCCUACGGGAGGCAGCAGUGGGGAAUAUUGCACAAUGGGCGGAAGCCUGAUGCAGCAACGCCGCGUGCGGGAUGACGGCCUUCGGGUUGUAAACCGCUUUCGCCUGUGACGAAGCGUGAGUGACGGUAAUGGGUAAAGAAGCACCGGCUAACUACGUG